GAUCAAGUGUCAAAAGGGCAUUUGGUGGAUGCCUUGGCAUGCACAGGCGAUGAAGGACGUGAUACGCUGCGAUAAGCCGUGGGGAGCUGCGAAUAAGCUUUGAUCCAUGGAUCUCCGAAUGGGGGAACCCACCUUAAAUGCUUGGAAAAUUUAAGUCGUGCGCAAGUACGGCUUAGGUUUCCAAGCAUUGUUUAAAGGUAUCUUAUCCUGAAUACAUAGGGGUAAGAAGCGAACGCAGGGAACUGAAACAUCUAAGUACCUGCAGGAAAGGACAUCAACCGAGA
rnacentral:ncRNA from 1 species